GGAUGCACCAGUGAGCUCUGCUACUUCCUUCCAACCUUUAUUUUUCUUUGUAGUGUCUCUAUUCGCAGUAAAUAAGAGGUUGUGUAUAUACUCACUAAUGCUGUGAGUUGGAACUAAAAAAAAAUGUUCUCACACCCCACAGGACUGGUCCGAGGAACCUUUCCGAGCCAGCCGUUUGGAUCUGUCGCUUCACAGCGUCAUACCUAAGUAGCGGUGAACGUCCCAGAAAUCGAUGUUCUUUCCAGCGACAUUGCAGUGUUGGAAUACUGGCAGAGAAAUGCUUUCAGUACAACACGGAUGAAGCAUUUCUACAGCGCUGUCGAAGGACUCGGAGCUUUGACUGAAGAAACCAGACCCGAUACCGUACCUUCGGACGAGGCCGAUUUUACGAGGCACAAAGCCCCGCCCCUAAACACCCAUCCGAAACAGG
ensembl:lncRNA